UGGCCAUAUCCUUCCUUAUUCCAAAUCCCAAGUAUGGUUACACGUGCAGCCUCUCUCAUACUACUCAAAACAUUUUCCAUUUCGAUUUUUUAAAUUUUCUUUUCUUUUUAGCUCCUCUUCAGUCAACUUGAUUCCAUUUCUGUUUAAAUCAAUUUUUCCUUAUUCUACCCUAGCAAAUCAGGGAACAGUUGGUUAUGAUCUUCUUUGAAAUAUUAAUUUCCUUCCUUCCUUUUCCCCUUUCUGAAAAAAUAUGAAGGCAGAGCUUUGGGGGAGUUGUCCCUGCCCAUCAAGAAGCACACAAACUUCUAUCCCAACGAGUAGGAAAUAAAUAAAUAAUAAAGAAAAAGAAGCACACAAACUAUCUCAAGGGGCGUAGUGAUUGGGGGGGUUAAUGUGCUUUUCUUUUUUGACUUUUCACUGCUGGCUGGAGGAAUCCCAUUAUCUGGUGAAGGGGAGGAAGUGAUCAGAAUGGCUCCUGAAGAAAUCAAAGAGAAAGAGAGUCAGUGUUCAGUUUCUGACAUUAAAAUAGUAUUUCACAGCAAGACAAUGACUUGAACGCUGGGUCUGGAGUGAGAGAAAGGGUUUUUCUGAAUCGCUUUAGCUCCCAGUUGGUCCCGAUCAUAGAGUUUCUCCUGCAAGGUAGAGAAGACAGCUCCGCUUACUCUUAGGUUUAGCCUGGACUCUGACAUCAAGACUAAGGAAAUCAUCAGGCAGAGGAAGUGAAUGAAUUGCUGCCCCUUCUUGUCCUGGGGGGCUAGGGGAAGAGGAGGCCAGGGACAGAGGGAAGGGAGGAGGGGAGUGUAGACGUGCAUUCCGAUGUCCCUCUGAAAGGCGGCUGGGGAGCCCAGAGGCGCCUGCUCAGGACUCUGGGAGGAGCAGCCUGGAGGCGGGCUCUCCUCUGCGACCUGCAGCAAGGAGAAGGGAGCGAAGGGCCGUGGCUUGCCGGGCAGCAACAGCGGCUGCUCCACGGUGCCUCUGAGGUCAGUGAGACAGCCCUGGUGACCACUGUCUCAGGAAGGCGCAGGGCGAUGGGCGGAAUUCUGACGGGGCCUGCGCCCCAGAGGGAGCUGAGGUCAGGUAAGGGGUCAGGGAGCAAAAGAGAGGGAGCCCAGGCCAGGAGCUCUGCCAGGUGUGGACAUCAGCAGAAGGCACCGCCGACCCCCAGGGUCAAACACCCUCUCCAGGACCUGCUCAAAGCGAGGUACCUUCUUCCCCUGACAGUGCUGUGGGCCAUGGACUCAGACCUCUUCUGAGGGGAACAGGAGAAGCCAACAGAACAAACACCAGCGACCGAGAUGACAGCGUGCCGGAGCCGGUCCCUGCACCCGCAGGCCGCACGCGAGCGUCCGAGCCUGCCGCCCCACCGCGAGGACAGAAGACCAGCCCUCUGUUCCAGGCCCGGUGGUUGCAGUUCUUUUAAUGUGUCUUCUUAUUUUACAUUCUUACCAUAGCUCUCGUAUUUUUAUAUCCCUCUGAAAUUCUAGUCUGUGUCCUCUGCUUCCUCCUUAACGUCAGCUACAAGAAGAAGCAGGAAAGCCUCAUGGUCACCGGGCUGAGGGGUGACCCUCCCUACCCCAGUCCCUCAGGAUGCGCUGUGUGCUGAGAGGGACCCUUGACGAGGUGGGUAAGCUAACAGGAGACAUGAGGGCAGGCCCUGAUCAGUCUGGCUGGAGCUCCCUGUCAGCGGACACAGGGGCAGCAGGUGCACUGCACAGAGAAGGGUGCGCGGACAUGCUCACCAGGCGGGCGGCCGUCUGCAGCCCAAGGAGAGAGGCCUCAGAAGAAACCAGACCUGCCCACGCCUUGCCCCUGGACUUCUAGCCUCCACAAGUGUAAGAGAAUAAAUUCCUACUGUUUAA